AAAAGGACCCUAACAACAUGUACCGGAAAUGUUAAGUGCAUGAAGUAAACAUUGGAGUUAAUGCUUAAAUGAUCUGACUUCCAGCUCUUUAAGACUCAUCACUCAGAGCAGAUACAAUGAACGACAUCUCCCCUGAGGUGGCCCUUCACAGGAUCUCCCCUGAGCUGCGGCCCUUGCUGUGCAGCGUUGUGAGGAACGGCCGCGUGGGACUGGACUCCACAAACUGUCUCCGAGUCACAGACCUCAAAACUGGAUGUAUAUCUCUGACCCCCGGUCCCUGCUGUGAUCGCUUCAAACUUCACAUCCCUUACGCUGGAGAAACGCUGAAAUGGGACAUUAUAUUCAAUGCACAGUUUCCAGAAUUGCCUCCAGAUUUUAUUUUCGGAGAAGAUGCUGAGUUUCUUCCGGAGCCUUCAGAACUGCCAGUGAGUAUCUCCACUCAUGAGAAUCC